AAAAAUGUUCAACUACCAUCUUCUCAACGAGCACUC
rnacentral:sRNA from 1 species